rnacentral:rRNA from 1 species
GACGAACGCUGGCGGCGUGCUUAACACAUGCAAGUCGAACGGAAAGGCCCUGCUUUUGUGGGGUGCUCGAGUGGCGAACGGGUGAGUAACACGUGAGUAACCUGCCCUUGACUUUGGGAUAACUUCAGGAAACUGGGGCUAAUACCGGAUAGGAGCUCCUGCUGCAUGGUGGGGGUUGGAAAGUUUCGGCGGGUGGGGAUGGACUCGCGGCUUAUCAGCUUGUUGGUGGGGUAGUGGCUUACCAAGGCUUUGACGGGUAGCCGGCCUGAGAGGGUGAACGGCCACAUUGCGACUGAGAUACGGCCCAGACUCCUACGGGAGGCAGCAGUGGGGAAUAUGGCACAACGGGCGGAAGCCUGAUGCAGCAACGCCGCGUGCGGGAUGACGGCCUUCGGGUUGUAAACCGCUUUCGCCUGUGACGAAGCGUGAGUGACGGUAAUGGGUAAAGAAGCACCGGCUAACUACGUG